CGUGUGCCCAUUUUGAAGCUGUUUAGUGCUGUGGUUGCGAUACGAGUUCACUAUAGGGGGUUUUUCAUGCGACCAUGCCAAGUGUUCAUUGCAUUUGUGGACUUGUCCUAGAGGAAAUGUCUUCAUCGCGUUUGCUGUGAUUGAAACGAUUGAUGAGCCAAGAAAGAUGAGUCUCAUUCCAUGCGAGCUGUGGAAUUUGUGGGCAAAAUGGACGAGGAAGUAAAAAUUCCACCAAUUCAUCCUUAGCAGAAGAGAAUGAACAAUGACAAGUGCGCAGUAUUUCAAAAGAGAAUGUUCACCUAUAUUUUAGUUAUUACAAGCUUUGUAACUAAUGUGUUCUUUUUGGUGAUUGUUCGAGCACCUGUUCAUCUUCAUGUCAGCAGUCGUGUAUUGCAAUAAUCAUGCUACCCGUUUGAUUUAACAAUUUUUUGUGAUCUUUUGUAUUAACGUUUGAUCAAUUUUUUCGCACUUUCGUUUCGCAGAAUUUAGGACAUGAUUGGUUAUUCUAAUGUGACUACUGAAUAGGACCGCCGUCAAGCAGAGCACUUGCGCGUCCUUUUGGUACGAUCCCUUCAUGCUGUAAUCUUUCAACAUUAUUGACAAUCUUUUCAUGGUGUACGUACAAUUUCAAUUUGGAAUGUUUGGCAUAGUUCGAGGGCAUAAUCACGUGAAAAUUACGCAUGCAAAUUGAAUUAACUUGAAAUUUGAGAUACAUGUUUCAUGUAGUGAGAUAUCUUCAUGUAGCUCUCACAGAAGUAUUGUGACCCUGAAAUGAAAAUUGUGUUAGUUGGGAAAUCGCAGCAGAUGUAAACUGCUUGAGAAUUCCUCUAGAGGUGGACAAUGAGCAGUCCAGGUGCAGGCAGUUUGUGUGAAAAGUUUGUGACCAGACAUGGUCUAUAGCAUUAAAUUCGAUUGAUGGUAUUCUAGCUGCUCAAUACCUGUUAGUGAUGGAGUAGCUUAUGUUGUCUAAAUUGACAAAGUUCCAUUUUUCUUGAAUUUUGCAAAGGAGAAGGUCCAAGGUUUAAAACUAUAAAUUUUAGUGAGAAAAAUACAAUCAAGGAACUCAAAGAUUUUUUUACAAGUCUGGAUGUUGGCAUUGAAGAUAUUUUAUUUGAUACAAGUA